CUUGGCGCUGGGACAAGUUUUGGUUGAUCAGGCUCUUUCCAAGGGAGCGAAAUAGUCUGAUUCUCCUCCCAUGGGCCAAUAUUGAAUUUGCACUCCAGGCAGUGCUCUUACUAUCCAACUGACGUAGCUGGACCAUCCAAAGCCAGCGGAUUCAAACGGACUCUGUUCCUUUCAGUAACCUCUCCACGAGUAGUAUUCUCUUCAAAACGACGACAAACUGGUUUGAAAUUUACAUCGGAUCCUGAAAAAAGGCACCAUGUUGGAAGGUCCUUCCUUGUUAUGAUCAGACAGCCAAGAGAAAUUGUCCACCAGCAUCAUAAUUUUUUUUUACAUACUACAUAGUCAAACCCCAAGGCGGUUGACAAGCUUCUGUACAAGGUGUGGAUUGAUAGCAUCACCCAUCAACAACUUCCACAACUGGUGUACCACAAGGAAGUAUGUUUGGACCACACCCCCACUUCAGUCUAUACUAUUAGCUACUGAAGAUGCCAUUCUGCAAGUAUACAAUAUCAUGCCAUGUAACAGUCACGUGGCAUUUAUGAUCAUACUUUUGUAGGAAGUUUCUUCCCUG